rnacentral:RNase_P_RNA from 1 species
AUACUUGUGUAAUCGCUGCAUGUCACAUGCAGAGGAAAGUCCAUGCUCACACAAACUGAGACGUUUGUAGUGUUCGUGCUUGACGAAAUCAUAAGUCAAGGUAGCCUUCAUUGGUUAACGGCAGGAGAAAUUCCUAUAGUCUAAAAUGAUAUGGAAUACGCUCCUUGAAGGUGCCACAGUGACGUAGUCCAGGUGGAAACGCCUGGAGUGGAACGAGGUAAACCCCGCGAGUGAGCAACCCAAAUAAUGGUAGGGGCAUCCUUUAGUAGGGAAAUGAACCGAAAAAGGGACAAGCUAUUCGCUUGUAGAUAGAUGAUUACGACCAAAGUACAAGGCUGACCACCGAUGGAGUACAAUGGAACAGAACAUGGCUUAUCGAG